rnacentral:rRNA from 1 species
UUGAGCGCUGGCGGCAUGCCUUACACAUGCAAGUCGAACGGUAACAGGUUAAGCUGACGAGUGGCGAACGGGUGAGUAAUAUAUCGGAACGUGCCCAAUCGUGGGGGAUAACGCAGCGAAAGCUGUGCUAAUACCGCAUACGAUCUAUGGAUGAAAGCGGGGGAUCGCAAGACCUCGCGCGAGUGGAGCGGCCGAUAUCAGAUUAGCUAGUUGGUGAGGUAAAGGCUCACCAAGGCGACGAUCUGUAGCUGGUCUGAGAGGACGACCAGCCACACUGGAACUGAGACACGGUCCAGACUCCUACGGGAGGCAGCAGUGGGGAAUUUUGGACAAUGGGCGCAAGCCUGAUCCAGCAAUGCCGCGUGCAGGAUGAAGGCCUUCGGGUUGUAAACUGCUUUUGUACGGAGCGAAAAGGCUCUCUCUAAUAAAGGGGGCUCAUGACGGUACCGUAAGAAUAAGCACCGGCUAACUACGU